rnacentral:rRNA from 1 species
AUUGAACGCUGGCGGCAGGCCUAACACAUGCAAGUCGAGCGGUAGAGAGGAGCUUGCUUCUCUUGAGAGCGGCGGACGGGUGAGUAAUGCCUAGGAAUCUGCCUGGUAGUGGGGGAUAACGUUCGGAAACGGACGCUAAUACCGCAUACGCCCUACGGGAGAAAGUGAGGGAUCUUCGGACCUCACGCUAUCAGAUGAGCCUAGGUCGGAUUAGCUAGUUGGUGAGGUAAAGGCUCACCAAGGCGACGAUCCGUAACUGGUCUGAGAGGAUGAUCAGUCACACUGGAACUGAGACACGGUCCAGACUCCUACGGGAGGCAGCAGUGGGGAAUAUUGGACAAUGGGCGCAAGCCUGAUCCAGCCAUGCCGCGUGUGUGAAGAAGGUCUUCGGACUGUAAAGCACUUUAAGUUGGGAGGAAGGUCAGUAGCUUAAUACGUUGCUGAUUUGACGUUACCGACAGAAUAAGCACCGGCUAACUCUGUGCCAGCCGCCGCCGUAAAAC